GACAGUUCUUGGGUGAUGCACCCCAGAAUCGGGCUCCCUCCUCUCUGGUUUCGGGUGCGUCACCCGAGAACCACA
rfam:Myotis davidii contig167786, whole genome shotgun sequence.